CAGGGCCGUAGCGCAGAGGUCGACGCACCGCCUGCACAGCGGAGGACGCCGGUUCGAUUCCGGCCGGUCCUGCCC
rnacentral:tRNA from 1 species